UAGGGAAUCUUACACAAUGGGCGAAAGCCUGAUGGAGCAACGCCGCGUGUGUGAUGAAGGCUUUCGGGUCGUAAAGCACUGUUGUAUGGGAAGAACAGCUAGAAUAGGAAAUGAUUUUAGUUUGACGGUACCAUACCAGAAAGGGACGGCUAAAUACGUGCCAG
rnacentral:rRNA from 1 species